UGCUAUUUGUCCCUCUCCAGGUGUCCAGUUUUAACCUGGUUUCCAAUGAAUGCUGACAGUUGUCCUCAGAUUAAAUCCGCAAAUUCUUUUUCUGUCCCAUGACGUAUUUAUUUGGGCUUAAAGGCUUGAACCAGUUUGAGUGAUCCUGAGCUUUUAUACAAUCUUCUCACCUAUGUUGGGCCUCAGUUUCUUGUUGACCUUGAGUAUUCUACCAUUUGCUUUUUGAAGAUCAUCUUUUCUUUCAAGAUGAGAGGUGUCAUAUUUUCCAUCUUACCCAAGGGAUGCGACUAUAUGCCUUUCCUCCUUUGGGUUCCAAAUAGAGCUAAAACCACAUGUGCCAGCUUCUUUCUUUUGAGAGGAAUUCUUUCUAUGAGUGGGGGGCAUGAGAAUGGGCCCCAUUGAUGGAGAGACUAGAUGAAUUCCAUGUUUCUAGGCAACUCCAGGAGUCGGCAGACCUCCACGCUGCUGUCCUGCCUGUUCCAUCAGCACCACCCACUUCUCUUUAGUGACCUGGCAAGGGUUCUUAAAACACGGCCGCCUUCGACGUCGGGUGAGAGCCUCUGCACCAUCUCUCUGGAGUCUGGAGGCUGAAUGUGAGGCCUACUUCAGUAUGUUGAGACCCAGUUGACACCUGCACAACAGCACCAUGAGUGUGGCUUUCAUCUUUGCGGCUGCUUCCCCCAGAGUAAGUAAGAGGGAGAACCAGGUGCACAGCAAGCAUUUUGUCAAGGACGAUGGGGUGGGAAGAACGUCAACUGUGUGGCCUCUGGAGAGUCCCUUUGCUUUCUGAGCCUCAAUUGGCACAUCUGCAAAGUGGAGCUAAUGACUCCUGCCCUGACUCCCUCCUGGGCUUGUUGACAAAACUCAGAUCGGAGGUGUUGUUCUUCCAGCAUUUUGGAAGCUUUUGAAGUGCUUGACAAGUGUAGAGAAUCCAUCUAAUUAAGGAAGAGGAUAAACAAAAGCCACCACAUGAAUGAGGUUUCUGGAAUGGGAUGCAGUCCAAUCCACAGGGAAACAGCCCCUGGAUGCCUCAUCCUUUGCCAUCCCUAAUGAGGAAACAGCCCAAUCCUUAGAUAGCUAGAGUCAUUAAUCUGUGGGUUAAAAAGUUAAUGCUUAGCCAAGCUUUCUCCAUCCUUUUUGGCAUGUGGCGUAUAUUCAAUAUGGCUCCAUGGAGCCAACCAGGAGCCCCUGCUUGAUGGAAUGGUCUCCUCUGUCAGGCUGGAAAAGACAGACACCGUAACUGUUUGACCAACAAAUGUAUAGAAAAUAGUGUCUGCCCUCAGUACCUGAGAGCCUUUGGCAACUCAUCUCACACCAUUGCCUUCAGACUGUAAAACUCAUUAGACUGCGAAGCAAGUUUUCCUGGCAGCACAGGGAGGAAUGAGGUGUGGUUGACUGUGGAUCUGGAAGCCUGUGGAUCAUCUCAGCUUCAUCCCUGACCUGCUGUGUGACCUUCAUAGGGCACUUCACCAUUCUGGGCCCGGGUUCUUUGGAUCUGAAAAUCAAGGCCUUAAGGGAAGAGGUCCCCAAGGCCUUUUCCAGCUGUAAAACUCAAUGAAACAUUGAAAAGUAAGCAGAUAUGAUGAUCUUAGUUUAAAAACCUAGAAUUGUACAUCUGGAAGGGAACUUACUUGGUCAUGAUUUUAAAAAAAAAUAUGCAUUGUAUUUGUUUUCUAAAUGCUUAAAAACAUGAUUGACUAUAAGAAAGAAAAUCCCCAAACCCUUAAGGAAAUGUUGCAUUUUAUCGUGUGUCCUUUUUUCCAUUGAGGAAACAUUCGUGAUCUGUUUAGGGGAGAGCAGCCUCUGAAUCAUUACCAAGACUCUGCACCAAAGGCGAAAAUUUUCUCCUGCUGGAGAAUGCCUGGAAACAGAUGCUGCUGCUAUGCAAAUGGCUCCCAGUGUACAAACGGGUAAAGGCAGGGCAGGCUGCAGCCAGGGGCUACACUCCAUGAAUAAUAACCAUGUGGUGCUGACGGUGACAGCAAAGGCUUCCUUGUGCCCGGUGCUUACAUUAUACCCAGGCACUGUUCCAGGCGCUUCACACGCCUUAUCUCCAGAUCCCACAGUAGCUCCCACCGUGCAACAAUCCACAUAGCACUAGCCUGAUUCUUUCUCUCUUCUCAUUGGGCAGGGGAUAUGGAUUGGGGGACCAGGGAAGGGAAAAAUGAUUCAUGUUCUAAGGCUGGAGAGGACAGACAAAAUGAUCAUUAUCCUUCUUUUGGAGAUCAGGAAAUUGAGGCUCAGAGAGGUUAAUUGGCUUUCUAGGUCUCCUGCACACCAGCAGCAAAGCUGAUGUUAGAACCCAAGACUCUGGCUCCAAAACCCCCUUGACUAUAUCUUCAGCCUGGCCAUAAACAGGCGAAAAUUCAAAUGGCCUCUCUGACGUCGACACUUUUAUUCCCAGGACCGUAGAAAUGGAGAGCUGUGAAGUCAAGAGCUUAGCCUUGAUUACCUGGUCUGGCAGGUGAAAGCCUGUUUGUAUUUCACACAUAGAUUGAAUUUCUUGAAUCAGACCUGGCAAACACUCUCAUAUAGUGGACUCUCUGAUUUAAGGUAAAAAGCUGUGAUUAAAUAUAACCAUCCUUGUGAAUCACAACAGAAAUACAGUGUGCAGGUCGAUCUCUCCUGCUGUGCAUCCCUUGGGGCUUUAACUCUAACAGGUAAUACAUUUGCAUUUAUUUGCAUACAGGCUUAAUGUUUUGAAACAGUGCAUCACUUCAGGGGUGGAUUGCCUCAUUCGUGAGGACUUUGGUGGUGCAAAUAAAGCCAAGCCUUCCAUUCUGAGGAGGCAAUAAAAGCCGAGAAAAGAGAGCACGGGACCAGGACCUUAAGUUCAGCCCUUACCUUGGACACAGCCUCUCUAGAGGUGGAAGGUGCCGUCUUCACAAGUUGCACAAGUUGGUCCCCCUGCCAGGGAUGCGCUCACUAGAUCUGCUCUCGUGACGGACAUUCACGGGAUGGGGAAGGGAUGACCUGGCCUGAGGUGGGCGUAAUCCCCCACCCAUGUCACGUUAGCCUGAUUGCCUUCUUUUCUUCAAGGGGCGUUGACCUGGGUGAUGAGGGAAGGCAAGACUGAUUCACUUCUACAGCCUCUGGGGCCAGGCUCAAGGGGAUGGAUGAAGGAGACAGGACUUCAUCCAGAAUGAGCUCCCAGCUGAGAGGCGAUGAGGUGCAGGUGCCCAGCUAGGGGAGGAAAGAGCGGGGCUUGAAAGUUUGGGAAGAGGUUGCUGAGUUCACAAAUUUUUUUCUGGGAGCGUAAUUAUCAGAGAGUAAUGACUCGCUUUGAACUAUGAGAAUGGGGCUGGAUUCCUCUAUCAGGUAUAAAGCUCCAUUCAAAGACUCGAUUGCCAUGUAAUCCGAAAAGCCGAGGUAUAAAAUUUGCUUUAAUAAAAACGAUCAAAUUGAUUCCAAAGCAAUCAUGCCUGAUACUGGGGGGCCAGGCCUCCUAAGUACUUCACAGGAGCAUCUCAUUUAAUACUUUUGUUUGUUUGUUUUGAGGAAGCCCUGAGAUAACUGCUGCCAAUCCUCCUCUUUUUGCUGAGGAAGACUGGCCCUGAGCUAACAUCCAUGCCCAUCUUCCUCUACUUUAUAUGUGGGAUGCCUACCACAACAUGGCGUGCUAAGCGGUGCCAUGUCUGCACCCAGGAUCUGAACUGGCGAACCCCUGGCCGCCGAAGCGGAAAGUGCACGCUUAACCGCUGCUCCACCAGGCUGGCCCCUCAUUUAAUUCUUACCACACCGCUGUGAAGCCCAGAUUAUUACACCCAUUUAAUAGGUGAGAAAAUUAAGGCUCAGAGGCUAAAGUAACUUGCCUGAGGUCACACAGAUGAGUAAGUAGGGAGGUCAGGUUUUAAACUCAGGUCUGUUUGGUUCCGAAACUUAAGCUCUUUACCACUGUAAUAAACCAUUUAAAAAAG
rnacentral:lncRNA from 1 species